UCCUUUUGCCGAAAAAACAAAAAGAGGCAAAACUCAUAUGCUAGGCGUGCAUGGAAGUAAAGAAUGUAAACAAGUUGUGUUAAAUGAGAUGAAUCAACCAUAGGUCCUACUGACAAAGUUGUAACAGAGUUGGGUAGCUUCCUCGGCACAUUGGCAAGGAGUGCGACAUUUUGUCCUCUUAAUGUGUUUAAUUGGAGGAAACUUGCAACAGAAGAACAUAUGUGGAAAUACGUCAAGGAAAAAUAUGACAUUCCUGAAGCUGCGAAAGUAUGGGUUCUUGUAUCAAUUCAGAAUGCUUGGAGAAAGAAUAAGUUAUAUGAGGAACAUUUUAGACCCUAUGAAAGUGACAAGCUUCUAAUGGAGAAAAGGCCGAUUGAUGUUCCGGAGUCUCAAUUUAGGGAACUUUAUAAAUAUUGGAAUUCUGAUGCCUACAAGGUAAAACUGAAUAUCUUUUGAUGAUUUGCUGAAAAUGUCCGAUUUUCAUUUAAUUAUAAAUCAUCUUGUUAGGGAAAAUCUAGAUAAAGUGCAAGCGCUAGAUAAUUCAUUAUCAAUCUAUUUGUCACAGCAGUGUUCGCAAAGUCAUUUUAUGAUAGUGAAAUAUCCAAUAGCAUUGGCCUAGAAAAUGCAGGUCAAUAACUUCAGGAAAAGUAUGGUGGAGGAGUGUUCCUCAUCCUUUAUGAUGCAAAGUCAUUUUAUGAUGCAAUUUUCUCACAGUUUAUAUGAAAUCCAAAUACUCUUUGGCCUCGACUGGAUCUGCUGGUACAUUUUGCUGAUUUUGUGGUCUUCUUCUUUCUGUUAUUCGUGUCUCCUAUGUUUUCGCUGACUUUAUAGGGGAGUUCCUCACCAUUUUUGAAUAGAAAGAGCUGAAGAGCAUAGACAAAAGUUAAAAUUUAUCACCAGUCUGCUACACCAAUCCAAGUACUACACCAAUCCAGACAAGAAAGUGAAGAUGGCAGUAAUCAAUGGUCUAUCUACUGGGAGUAACAAUCAAGGUGGAGCAAAUGAAGAAAACGGAGAUGGAGACACUGAAGAUCUAGACCUUACUUAAAGAAUUUUGAAUUGUUGUAGAUGUUUAGGAAUUUUUUGUUAUCAACAUUUGAAACUUACUCUAACUCUUGAAGUCUUGAACUUUAGAACUUAUGCGCUUGGGUUAAUUAGAACAUUUUGCUUUUAUGGAUAUUAUUAGCUUAUUGGACAA